rnacentral:rRNA from 1 species
UACGUAGGGUGCGAGCGUUAAUCGGAAUUACUGGGCGUAAAGCGUGCGCAGGCGGUUCGCCAAGUCAGGUGUGAAAUCCCCGGGCUUAACCUGGGAAUUGCGCUUGAAACUAGCGGGCUUGAGUGCGGCAGAGGGGGGUGGAAUUCCACGUGUAGCAGUGAAAUGCGUAGAGAUGUGGAGGAACACCGAUGGCGAAGGCAGCCCCCUGGGUCAAUACUGACGCUCAUGCACGAAAGCGUGGGGAGCAAACAGG